UUCCAGUCUUACCUCUAAUCUAAUUAGAAGUUUCGAGACACAACCCUGGUCUGUAUUAUUGCAAUUGAAACUCAUGACUAUGCCACUGAAUCAGUGGAAUGUGCCAUACCUGCUGCAUGCCGGGAUGGAACUGGUUGUAAUUUAAGGGAGAUGGGAAGCCAAUGUUUCGACCAACAACUGCCGUACCAUCACGUGAAAGAGAUGACAACAUAUCCGAGCAGCCUUCCUCUCAAGAUACCAACUACUGCAAGAGACCAACUUUAGCAAGGGUCAGAGUGACCUCAUAGAACAAUGGACCCAGGACAUUUACUUCAGAAUUAACCAGUGGGGAUAGAGAGUCUUCCUGAAGUCAAAGAAUAAAUUUGUUGAUUGCAUUCAUGUUGGUAAAAUUAAAUCCAUGGAAUAUCAUCUUUAGGACUGUC